GCCAGGCGAUUCGGUCGGGGACUCUAGAGAUACUGCCCCGGUUAACGGGGAGGAAGGUGGGGAUGACGUCAAGUCCUCAUGGCCCUUAUGCCCAGGGCUACACACGUGCUACAAUGGGCGGGUACAAAGGGUAGCGAUGCCGCGAGGUGAAGCCAAUCCCAAAAAGCCGUCCACAGUUCGGAUUGGAGUCUGCAACUCGACUCCAUGAAGCCGGAAUCGCUAGUAAUCGUGGAUCAGCAUGCCACGGUGAAUACGUUCCCGGGCCUU
rnacentral:rRNA from 1 species